GAUGAACGCUGGCGGCGUGCCUAAUACAUGCAAGUCGAGCGAAUGGAUUAAGAGCUUGCUCUUAUGAAGUUAGCGGCGGACGGGUGAGUAACACGUGGGUAACCUGCCCAUAAGGCUGGGAUAACUCCGGGAAACCGGGGCUAAUACCGGAUAACAUUUUGAACCGCAUGGUUCGAAAUUGAAAGGCGGCUUCGGCUGUCACUUAUGGAUGGACCCGCGUCGCAUUAGCUAGUUGGUGAGGUAACGGCUCACCAAGGCAACGAUGCGUAGCCGACCUGAGAGGGUGUUCGGCCACACUGGGACUGGGACACGGCCCAGACUCCUACGGGAGGCAGCAGUAGGGAAUCUUCCGCAAUGGACGAAAGUCUGACGGAGCAACGCCGCGUGAGUGAUGAAGGCUUUCGGGUCGUAAAACUCCGUUGUUAGGGAAGAACAAGUGCUAGUUGAAUAAGCUGGCACCUUGACGGUACCUAACCAGAAAGCCACGGCUAACUACGUGCCAGCCGCCGCAGUAA
rnacentral:rRNA from 1 species